rnacentral:rRNA from 1 species
CUUGCUACUUUGCCGGCGAGCGGCGGACGGGUGAGUAAUGUCUGGGAAACUGCCUGAUGGAGGGGGAUAACUACUGGAAACGGUAGCUAAUACCGCAUGACCUCGCAAGAGCAAAGUGGGGGACCUUCGGGCCUCACGCCAUCGGAUGUGCCCAGAUGGGAUUAGCUAGUAGGUGGGGUAAUGGCUCACCUAGGCGACGAUCCCUAGCUGGUCUGAGAGGAUGACCAGCCACACUGGAACUGAGACACGGUCCAGACUCCUACGGGAGGCAGCAGUGGGGAAUAUUGCACAAUGGGCGCAAGCCUGAUGCAGCCAUGCCGCGUGUGUGAAGAAGGCCUUCGGGUUGUAAAGCACUUUCAGCGAGGAGGAAGGGUAUCGUGUUAAUAGCACGGUACAUUGACGUUACUCGCAGAAGAAGCACCGGCUAACUCCGUGCCAGCAGCCGCGGUAAUACGGAGGGUGCAAGCGUUAAUCGGAAUUACUGGGCGUAAAGCGCACGCAGGCGGUUUGUUAAGUCAGAUGUGAAAUCCCCGAGCUUAACUUGGGAACUGCAUUUGAAACUGGCAAGCUAGAGUCUUGUAGAGGGGGGUAGAAUUCCAGGUGUAGCGGUGAAAUGCGUAGAGAUCUGGAGGAAUACCGGUGGCGAAGGCGGCCCCCUGGACAAAGACUGACGCUCAGGUGCGAAAGC